GGUUCCAGGCAUGGGUAGCUGACGCUAAGUCGACACCUAGUAAGAACAUGCAAGGGCAUACACGGGACAGAUCUGAUGAAGGUCAUAUGAGACUGAAGCAUUAGACAUUUACAUAACGAUUGUAGAUUGUGGAUCCCCAAAAU